UACGGAGGGUGCGAGCGUUGUCCGGAAUCAUUGGGCGUAAAGGGCGCGUAGGUGGCCCGGUCAGUCAGUGGUGAAAGCGCGGGGCUCAACUCCGCGUCGGCCAUUGAUACUGCUGGGCUUGAGCACUGUAGAGGCAGGCGGAAUUCCGGGGUGUAGCGGUGGAAUGCGUAGAGAUCCGGAAGAACACCGGUGGCGAAGGCGGCCUGCUGGGCAGUAGCUGACACUG
rnacentral:rRNA from 1 species